GGCUGCUGGGGGACGUGCUUGUUUGACGCGGAGACGAGCACCUAGCUUGCCUGGAGGAGAAUAUCAAGUUUAUCCAGGAGGUGCGGCAGACAACCGAUACAUGAUUAGAAGUGGUGCCCUUAGUCACCCGUUUUCCAGCUCCUGUCACAUGUGGACAAGCCAUGGAUGUACCAGAUCUUAUGCCAAACAAGGAUGGCUUUUCCCCAAUUGGAACACUUCCUGGUUCAUCACUUUUGGGAAUCAUGGCAGCUAAAAUGCUAACACCUGGAGCCAUGACAUCUGGCUGGAAAACAGAUUAGUGAAAGAAACAGUGAGUGUGUUGUUCUCAAGAUGCUUAUGCUGAUUCUUGGUUCAUGGAUGUGAAAUGAACUGCAUUUAGGAGCAAAAAGUUGAAAACUACCUUGAGAAUGUUUUCUGUAAGGCUUGAAGGGCCUCUUGAUGAGAAAGAUGCAACAAUUGGUGAAGGCUUAUAUCUAGGAACUUCUACUGUUGGAAGAACUGUUGCAGUUGGGUUUCUGUAUAGAAGGCAUCAUAGACUCAGCAUUUAGUAAUAGCUUAUCAUGUUUCAGCUUUUUCUUAUCAUCAUAAAGAUAAAAGUUAUUUUUAUCUCUUAGGUCACUGAUCACCAUGUGUGAAGGUUGAUAAUGCUUACUUGGUGGCGUUUAUGUACUUAAGGAUUUGAUACCCAUCUAGAUUCCCCACCUCUGUGAAGGGAAAUGCACCAGCAUCAAAGGGAACAUAUUUUCUGUCCUCGUCAAUGAGUAUCAUUCCCAUGGCUUUAGCAUCUUGUAAAACUAGCUUCUUGACUCGUCUUGAAAUACUUGGAUCAUCACUAACACAAACAACAAUGUUGCCUGCUACUUUGUUGUAAUCUAGUGAUCCAGGAUAACAGUUCCUGCAUUCAUUUCAGAGAACAAUUAAGUACUUAACACACUAUGUUUAUGAAGUAUGCAAUCACUUAUUCUGGUAUAAAGUGUACUAGUUACAUAUA